rnacentral:lncRNA from 1 species
CCUGUCUCUGGUUCUCAGGCGCAUCUCUGAGAGAUGUAAAUGGCUGCCAGGCUUCUUCUCUGCCUCAGUUUCCCCAGUGUGGGAUGAGGAUAAAGGAUGUUUUCCAGAGGGUUUUGCCUCUUGCUGUCUGUGUGACAUUCAAAGUCCUGUGGACCAUGCUGGAGACAAACUAAACUGAAGUUAGACCUUCAGCAGACGAGUGUGUCCUCCUUUCCCUCACCCCCACCUUCUUCACUGAUGUAAGCAGCUUUGGAAAACAUGGGUCCUUAAGGGAUGAGGGCGAAAUAAAUGCUUUUACAUUUUUUUUCAGCCUCUCUUAUUUUCUUUGCCCAUAAGGAUUCUCAGUAACAAAUGAAACACGACUGCUAUCUCUGUGACUGAUCUAUUUGUGCAAUUCCGUCUGUGGACGUAGACCCCAGAAGACACAUCCAAGGAGCGAGGGUGUAGGUGGGAGGGAAGCUAUUUAUCCCUGAUAGAAACUUCUGUGUUGGCGUUGAUGACGGCUCUCUGCCAGUGUGUGGGGAAGGCCAGGACUUGACUGCUGGAGAUGCAAAACCUCCUGGGGAGCAGUGUGGCAGCAGAAUGGAAAUGGAGCAUGUAGGAGAGAGUGGGUUUGGUCCCUGGGAAGCACCACUGGAUCAGAUGCCACGCUGGGCUGGCACGGGGAAAUGCUGGUGGGCCAGGAGGGCCAGGAUGUCCCUGCUGGUGUAAAUCAGGAUGGCUCCUUUGUGCCUGUGGCAUAAAUCAGUAGCACACCCUUUGUCAUCAGCAGGCCAGCCCGCCUUGCCUAGACAGGCAUGGGCAGCUUUCAGAGUGGCCUUCUUGCAGCUUUUCCUCUCGCUGCCACCCUCCCCUCCCCUCUUGUACUUGAUUUGAUCUUAUUAAAUUGAUACAGAGAGGCGAGCCGGCUGGGCUGGUAAAGCAGCCCCGACCCUGGGAGGGAGAGGAGCAUCCUGCCUCCCUUUGCCAGACAACGAGGCCACUCAGCCCCCGGUAAUUGAGCUUUAAUAGACUCGGGGAGGAGUGUAGCUCUCCAGGGAGCGGCCUCAGCUGGCAACCUGGGGGGGAACGGGGCACACAGAAAAAGGCUUUCCUGACAGGGGAAUGGUCCUUGCGCCAUGCCGACAGAAGAAGAAUAUCAACAGGAAACGCAGACUCUCAUCCAGCACUCCUGCUUAAGUGGGCUGGAAAACCCUCACGUGGAAAUUCAGGGUUGUGUUUCUGUUGGCUUCGAGACCACGUGUGCUUUCCAGCUCAUCUGGGUUGUGUCUCUCACCUGAAAGCCCAUCCACUCCUGAGCGGCUUCCACAGCUAUCACAAGCGAGUUCGGGUUCGGCUUGGAAAAGGGUAAGAAGUGCAAGUACUCAAACAGCAGUGAGAUGAAAGCAUGUGGCAGGUUUAUUUAGGCUGGAUCAUAUGGGUAAUAGGAUGAAAUAAGUACAGAUUUUUUAUUUUUUUUUUCUAUGAGAAUUUGUGAACUGCACUUACUUCUGCUCCAAAAUGAGCUAAGAUAUCAAAAUACAUAAUGCUUUUGCAAAAGAACAAUGUAAUUCUCAUCCUGAUUCUAUCUCCCACUCCCUACACCCCAGCCCUCAAAUUUUGGAUCAGAUCAAGUGAAAUAUUUUGUUCCCAGUGCAAUUUUUUACCAUUUCAAAGCCUCUUUUAAACCUAAAUGGUCUAGAACUUAAAAAUGAAAAGUCAUUUUCAAUCAUAAAGCAAAUGUUUUUGUUUAGAAAAUGUCAGAGCUGGAUGUUGCCAGGUUCCACAACUUUUUUUGUGUUCUUUUUUUUCUCCGCUCUCCAAAAAUGCUUCAGGGGGAAAGAG